rnacentral:rRNA from 1 species
AAUUUGCAGAGGAUGCUUUUGGCGCGGUGCCUUCCGAGUUCCCUGGAACGGGACGCCAUAGAGGGGGAGAGCCCCGUCUGGUCGGACACCAAGCCAGUGUAAAGCUCCUUCGACGAGUCGAGUAGUUUGGGAAUGCUGCUCUAAAUGGGAGGUAUAUGUCUUCUAAAGCUAAAUACCGGCCAGAGACCGAUAGCNGACAAGUAGAGUGAUCGAAAGAUGAAAAGCACUUUGAAAAGAGGGUUAAACAGUACGUGAAAUUGUUGAAAGGGAAGCGUUUGGGACCAGACUUGGGCCCGGUGAAUCAUCCAGCGUUCUCGCUGGUGCACUUUGCCGGGCUCAGGCCAGCAUCAGUUCGCCGCGGGGGACAAAAGCUUCGGGAACGUGGCUCCCUCGGGAGUGUUAUAGCCCGUUGCAUAAUACCCUGCGG